rfam:Syntrophobacterales bacterium GWC2_56_13 gwc2_scaffold_3176, whole genome shotgun sequence.
GUCGUCGUAAGGCGGGGUCUGGAGGAAGCCCAAUCCAAAAGUGCGGGGCGACGAACAGGAACCGGAUAUGAGGUGUGGUACGUUCGGGGCGAGCGGGCACGUGACUGCGAAGCCCUCCAUCCGCAAAUGGGGCGUGCUUUAUAAAUCCGGCGUUUACGCACGGAAAGUUCUGUGU